GCCAGGCAUGGUGGCGCAUGCCUGUAAUCCCAGCCACUCGGGAGGCUGAGACAGGAGAAUUGCUUGAACCUGGGGGGCGGAGGUUACAGUGAGCCGGGAUCGUGCCACUGCACUCCAGCCUGGGUGACAGAGCGAGACUCUGUCUCAA
rfam:Nomascus leucogenys chromosome 8, whole genome shotgun sequence.